CAAGCCACAGCUACUAAAUUAUGAUUUAAACUUAAUAGUAUUGUAGCCUAUAACUAAAGCUCUAGAUAAGAGCU
rnacentral:rRNA from 1 species